rnacentral:rRNA from 1 species
CGCGUAGACGGUUUUGUAAGUCAGAUGUGAAAUCCCCGGGCUCAACCUGGGAACUGCAUUUGAGACUGCAUGGCUAGAGUAUGGAAGAGGGAAGUGGAAUUUCCGGUGUAGCGGUGAAAUGCGUAGAUAUCGGAAGGAACACCAGUGGCGAAAGCGACUUCCUGGUCCAAUACUGACGUUCAUGUGCGAAAGCGUGGGGAGCAAACAGGAUUAGAUACCCUGGUAGUCCACGCCAUAAACGAUGACAACUAGAUGUUGGGAGGGUCUGCCUCUCGGUGUCGCAGCUAACGCGUUAAGUUGUCCGCCUGGGGAGUACGGCCGCAAGGUUGAA